UCGAACGAAGCUUUCGGGCUUAGUGGCGCACGGGUGCGUAACGCGUAUGCAAUUUACCUUUUACGGGGGGACAACACUAGGAAACUGGUGCUAAUACCGCGUAAUAAAUAGAGAGGCAUCUUUUUAUUUUAAAAGAAUUUCGGUAAGAGAUAAGCAUGCGUCCCAUUAGCUAGUUGGUAAGGUAACGGCUUACCAGAGGCCACGAUGGGUAGGGGAACUGAGAGGUUUAUCCCCCACCCUGGUCCUGACAUACGAACCAGACUCCUACGGGAUGC
rnacentral:rRNA from 1 species